rnacentral:rRNA from 1 species
GCAAGUCGAGGGGUAACAGGAGAGCUUGCUUUUGCUGACGACCGGCGCACGGGUGCGUAACGCGUAUACAAUCUACCUAUAACAGAAGGAUAGCCCAGAGAAAUUUGGAUUAAUACCUCAUGGUAUUAUUGAUAGGCAUCUAUUAAUAAUUAAAGGUUACGGCAAAAGAUGAGUAUGCGUCCCAUUAGCUAGUUGGUGAAGUAACGGUUCACCAAGGCAACGAUGGGUAGGGGUCCUGAGAGGGAGAUC